rnacentral:tRNA from 1 species
GGUAAAAUGGCUGAGGUUUAGGCGGUAAAUUGUAAAUUUAUUAACAAGAUUAAUCUUUUUUAUCA